rnacentral:rRNA from 1 species
UUAAGCGACUAAGCGUACACGGUGGAUGCCCUGGCAGUCAGAGGCGAUGAAGGACGUGCUAAUCUGCGAUAAGCGUCGGUAAGGUGAUAUGAACCGUUAUAACCGGAGAUUUCCGAGUGGGGAAACCCAGUGUGAUUCGUCACACUAUCAUUAACUGAAUCCAUAGGUUAAUGAGGCGAACCGGGGGAACUGAAACAUCUAAGUACCCCGAGGAAAAGAAAUCAACCGAGAUUCCCCCAGUAGCGGCGAGCGAACGGGGAGCAGCCCAGAGCCUGAAUCAGUGUGUGUGUUAGUGGAAGCGUCUGGAAAGGCGUGCGAUACAGGGUGACAGCCCCGUACACAAAAAUGCACAUACUGUGAGCUCGAUGAGUAGGGCGGGACACGUGGUAUCCUGUCUGAAUAUGGGGGGACCAUCCUCCAAGGCUAAAUACUCCUGACUGACCGAUAGUGAACCAGUACCGUGAGGGAAAGGCGAAAAGAACCCCGGCGAGGGGAGUGAAAAAGAACCUGAAACCGUGUACGUACAAGCAGUGGGAGCACGCUUAGGCGUGUGACUGCGUACCUUUUGUAUAAUGGGUCAGCGACUUAUAUUCUGUAGCAAGGUUAACCGAAUAGGGGAGCCGAAGGGAAACCGAGUCUUAACUGGGCGUUAAGUUGCAGGGUAUAGACCCGAAACCCGGUGAUCUAGCCAUGGGCAGGUUGAAGGUUGGGUAACACUAACUGGAGGACCGAACCGACUAAUGUUGAAAAAUUAGCGGAUGACUUGUGGCUGGGGGUGAAAGGCCAAUCAAACCGGGAGAUAGCUGGUUCUCCCCGAAAGCUAUUUAGGUAGCGCCUCGUGAAUUCAUCUCCGGGGGUAGAGCACUGUUUCGGCAAGGGGGUCAUCCCGACUUACCAACCCGAUGCAAACUGCGAAUACCGGAGAAUGUUAUUACGGGAGACACACGGCGGGUGCUAACGUCCGUCGUGAAGAGGGAAACAACCCAGACCGCCAGCUAAGGUCCCAAAGUCAUGGUUAAGUGGGAAACGAUGUGGGAAGGCCCAGACAGCCAGGAUGUUGGCUUAGAAGCAGCCAUCAUUUAAAGAAAGCGUAAUAGCUCACUGGUCGAGUCGGCCUGCGCGGAAGAUGUAACGGGGCUAAACCAUGCACCGAAGCUGCGGCAGCGACGCUUAUGCGUUGUUGGGUAGGGGAGCGUUCUGUAAGCCUGUGAAGGUGUGCUGUGAGGUAUGCUGGAGGUAUCAGAAGUGCGAAUGCUGACAUAAGUAACGAUAAAGCGGGUGAAAAGCCCGCUCGCCGGAAGACCAAGGGUUCCUGUCCAACGUUAAUCGGGGCAGGGUGAGUCGACCCCUAAGGCGAGGCCGAAAGGCGUAGUCGAUGGGAAACAGGUUAAUAUUCCUGUACUUGGUGUUACUGCGAAGGGGGGACGGAGAAGGCUAUGUUGGCCGGGCGACGGUUGUCCCGGUUUAAGCGUGUAGGCUGGUUUUCCAGGCAAAUCCGGAAAAUCAAGGCCGAGGCGUGAUGACGAGGCACUACGGUGCUGAAGCAACAAAUGCCCUGCUUCCAGGAAAAGCCUCUAAGCAUCAGGUAACAUCAAAUCGUACCCCAAACCGACACAGGUGGUCAGGUAGAGAAUACCAAGGCGCUUGAGAGAACUCGGGUGAAGGAACUAGGCAAAAUGGUGCCGUAACUUCGGGAGAAGGCACGCUGAUACGUAGGUGAAGCGACUUGCUCGUGGAGCUGAAAUCAGUCGAAGAUACCAGCUGGCUGCAACUGUUUAUUAAAAACACAGCACUGUGCAAACACGAAAGUGGACGUAUACGGUGUGACGCCUGCCCGGUGCCGGAAGGUUAAUUGAUGGGGUUAGCGCAAGCGAAGCUCUUGAUCGAAGCCCCGGUAAACGGCGGCCGUAACUAUAACGGUCCUAAGGUAGCGAAAUUCCUUGUCGGGUAAGUUCCGACCUGCACGAAUGGCGUAAUGAUGGCCAGGCUGUCUCCACCCGAGACUCAGUGAAAUUGAACUCGCUGUGAAGAUGCAGUGUACCCGCGGCAAGACGGAAAGACCCCGUGAACCUUUACUAUAGCUUGACACUGAACAUUGAGCCUUGAUGUGUAGGAUAGGUGGGAGGCUUUGAAGUGUGGACGCCAGUCUGCAUGGAGCCGACCUUGAAAUACCACCCUUUAAUGUUUGAUGUUCUAACGUGGACCCGUGAUCCGGGUUGCGGACAGUGUCUGGUGGGUAGUUUGACUGGGGCGGUCUCCUCCUAAAGAGUAACGGAGGAGCACGAAGGUUGGCUAAUCCUGGUCGGACAUCAGGAGGUUAGUGCAAUGGCAUAAGCCAGCUUGACUGCGAGCGUGACGGCGCGAGCAGGUGCGAAAGCAGGUCAUAGUGAUCCGGUGGUUCUGAAUGGAAGGGCCAUCGCUCAACGGAUAAAAGGUACUCCGGGGAUAACAGGCUGAUACCGCCCAAGAGUUCAUAUCGACGGCGGUGUUUGGCACCUCGAUGUCGGCUCAUCACAUCCUGGGGCUGAAGUAGGUCCCAAGGGUAUGGCUGUUCGCCAUUUAAAGUGGUACGCGAGCUGGGUUUAGAACGUCGUGAGACAGUUCGGUCCCUAUCUGCCGUGGGCGCUGGAGAACUGAGGGGGGCUGCUCCUAGUACGAGAGGACCGGAGUGGACGCAUCACUGGUGUUCGGGUUGUCAUGCCAAUGGCACUGCCCGGUAGCUAAAUGCGGAAGAGAUAAGUGCUGAAAGCAUCUAAGCACGAAACUUGCCCCGAGAUGAGUUCUCCCUGACCCUUUAAGGGUCCUGAAGGAACGUUGAAGACGACGACGUUGAUAGGCCGGGUGUGUAAGCGCAGCGAUGCGUUGAGCUAACCGGUACUAAUGAACCGUGAGGCUUAACCUU